CAGUAGCCACGGUAAUACGUAGGGGGCGAGCGUUGUCCCGAAUUAUUGGGCGUAAAGCGCGUGUAGGCGGCUCAGCAAGUCCGCUCUGAAAGCCCAGGGCUCAACCCUGGGAUGCGGGUGGAUACUGCUGAGCUCGAGUCCGGAAGAGGCGAGUGGAAUUCCUGGUGUAGCGGUGAAAUGCGCAGAUAUCAGGAGGAACACCAAUGGCGAAGGCAGCUCGCUGGGACGUGACUGACGCUGAGACGCGAAAGCGUGGGGAGCAAACAGGAUUAGAUACCCGGGUAGUCCCUGUCUCUUAUAC
rnacentral:rRNA from 1 species